CGUUUAGGGGUAAACCUGAGAAACCCGAAAGGUCGAAGGGUGAAAUUCAAAUGCUGCUAGCGACCGGAGGCUGGUGGUCGAGCGACGGAAGACGUUCGCGUCAACCGCGCCCUCUGCCAGUCGAGCCGGCUGCGAGCGCGUGCACUUUUCACCUGGUAGGACGCCGCGAUUCGUUGGGUGUCGGUCUACGGUGCGUGGUGGAGCCCGCCUGUCCUUCGGGACGAGCGGACCCGCGCUACCCGGCCGACUUGCUCGACGGUAACUGAAUGGUUGGUGGCCGCUCCUCUGCGAGCGUUCGACUCGUGGCAAGCACGUCAGACCAGUCGGUGACCGGACCUAGUGCCGAUUCUGACUACUGGCGACUGUUGGCUGCGAUGCUAUCGAACAGACCACGCAAAACCGAUCAGCGACGCUAUAGCUUUGGGUACUUUCAGGACCCGUCUUGAAACACGGACCAAGGAGUCUAGCAUGUGCGCGAGUCAUUGGGAUUCACUAAACCUAAAGGCGCAAUGAAAGUAAAGGUUUCUGCUUGCAGAGACCGAGGGAAGAUGGGUGGCUCGUCCUUAAAAGCGACCAUCCAGCACUCCCGGGGCGUCUCAUUCUCAUUGCGAGAGGAGGCGCACCAUGAGCGUACACGCUGGGACCCGAAAGAUGGUGAACUAUGCCUGGU
rnacentral:rRNA from 1 species